GCUUACGACCACACCGGCCUGAGUACGCCUGAUCUCAUCUGAUCUCGGAAGCUAAGCAGGGUAGGGCUUGUUUAGUACUUGGAUGGGUGACCGCCUGGGAAUACCAGGUGCUGCAAGCU
rnacentral:rRNA from 1 species